GUGGGGAAUAUUGGACAAUGGGCGAAAGCCUGAUCCAGCAAUGCCGCGUGAGUGAUGAAGGCCUUAGGGUUGUAAAGCUCUUUUACCAGGGAUGAUAAUGACAGUACCUGGAGAAUAAGCUCCGGCUAACUCCGUGCCAGCAGCCGCGGUAAUACGGAGGGAGCUAGCGUUGUUCGGAAUUACUGGGCGUAAAGCGCACGUAGGCGGUUACUCAAGUCAGAGGUGAAAGCCCGGGGCUCAACCCCGGAACUGCCUUUGAAACUAGGUAACUAGAAUCUUGGAGAGGUCAGUGGAAUUCCGAGUGUAGAGGUGAAAUUCGUAGAUAUUCGGAAGAACACCAGUGGCGAAGGCGACUGACUGGACAAGUAUUGACGCUGAGGUGCGAAAGCGUGGGGAGCAAACAGGAUUAGAAACCCGUGUAGUCC
rnacentral:rRNA from 1 species